rnacentral:rRNA from 1 species
CGGCGUGCUUAACACAUGCAAGUCGAACGAUGAAGCCUUCGGGUGGAUUAGUGGCGAACGGGUGAGUAACACGUGGGCAAUCUGCCCUGUACUUUGGGAUAAGCCUUGGAAACGGGGUCUAAUACCGGAUAUCACUUCCUCAGGCAUCUGGGGUUGUUGAAAGUUCUGGCGGUACAGGAUGAGCCCGCGGCCUAUCAGCUUGUUGGUGGGGUAAUGGCCUACCAAGGCGACGACGGGUAGCCGGCCUGAGAGGGUGACCGGCCACACUGGGACUGAGACACGGCCCAGACUCCUACGGGAGGCAGCAGUGGGGAAUAUUGCACAAUGGGCGAAAGCCUGAUGCAGCGACGCCGCGUGAGGGAUGACGGCCUUCGGGUUGUAAACCUCUUUCGCCAGGGACGAAGCCGUGAGGUGACGGUACCUGGAUAAGAAGCACCGGCUAACUACGUGCCAGCAGCCGCGGUAAUACGUAGGGUGCAAGCGUUGUCCGGAAUUAUUGGGCGUAAAGAGCUCGUAGGCGGUUUGUCGCGUCGGCUGUGAAAUCUGGAGGCUUAACCUUCAGCGUGCAGUCGAUACGGGCAGACUUGAGUUCGGUAGGGGAGACUGGAAUUCCUGGUGUAGCGGUGAAAUGCGCAGAUAUCAGGAGGAACACCGGUGGCGAAGGCGGGUCUCUGGGCCGAUACUGACGCUGAGGAGCGAAAGCGUGGGGAGCGAACAGGAUUAGAUACCCUGGUAGUCCACGCUGUAAACGGUGGGUGCUAGGUGUGGGCGACAUCCACGUUGUCCGUGCCGUAGCUAACGCAUUAAGCACCCCGCCUGGGGAGUACGGCCGCA